rnacentral:rRNA from 1 species
ACUCAAAGGAAUUGACGGGGACUUGCACAAGCAGUGGAUUAUGUGGUUUAAUUCGAUGGUAAACGAAGAACCUUACCAGGGUUAGAAAUCCUCAUGAAAGGUCCAGGAAACUGGAUCCCUCGCAAGACUAGAGGACAGGUGAUGCAUGGCCGUCGUCAGUUCGUGGUUUGAAUUGUACCCUUAAGUGGGCUAACGAACGCAACCCUUGUUGUGUGUUACAAGUGUCACACGAGACUGCCCCCGCAAAAGCGCAGGAGGCGAAAAAUUUUCGCUUCGUGAAUUUUUGUGGGGGAGGAAGGAGAGGAUGACGCCAGGUCAGCAUGUCCCUUUGAUACCCUGGGCUACACACAUAAUACAAUCGCAGUUACAACGCGAAGCGACGGGGCGACCCUGAGCCAAUCGUCCAAAAACUGCGCCAGUUCGGAUUGGAGGCUGCAACUCGCCUCCAUGAAGCCGGAAUUGCUAGUAAUCACAGGUCAGCUAAACUGUGGUGAAUACGUUCUCAAGUCUUGUACACACCGCCCGU